AUCUAAAAUAUUUCUUUGUGUGAACUCACUUUCAUCACUUAAUAUUUGUGUCUCAGUUAUUUGCCUUUUCUUUGACUGUUUUAGAACGAGGGCUUUUCUGUUCUUGUCUUCACAGCUCAUAACUUUUAUUACUAGGAUCAACUCUCUUUCCUUCUCACCACAUUUUUAAGAAACCAGAUUUUUAUGAUGUGGUAAGUAUUACUGAGCACAGUAUAAGUGAAGUCUUGCCAGAGAUUUCAUUACUACUUCCUUACGUUUACAUCCUACAUUUAUAGCACUAUGUUGGCUUUUAAAUUUAUUCCUAAAGUUCUCUAGACAUUUAUGGACAGAAGACCACUAUUAUAUCAAAAUUCUUGAGAACACGCUUUCCUCUGCUUCAUUUCUACGCUCUCCUUGGCUGUAUUUAUAAAAAAAGUGUAUUUUAGGGGCAUUUUUAUUGUGAUUUAGAGAAAAUUUUUUCCGCAUUUACAAACUUAUAUUCAAGGAAUUGAGCAAGGUCACAAGGUGUUUUUCUUUCCUUAUUUUUUUCUCUAAGGUAUUAUUAUGUAGAGAAACCAUGGUAAGGAAUUACCAUCUUAUCUGAUAUACAAGUUUGUCCUACACUGAGUACCUGAUAAAAUGAACCAAGUACGUCAUCAGAAGACAGAUGAUUUUGUGGCUAAGGCUCAACCCCCAUACACUGAACUUUAUAGCACUUUUACAGGCUUCCUGUGGGCUUGUAUAUAUUGAAGAAAAUGUUGUGUCAUGAAGAAAUCCUUGGGUUAGUGCCAAACCAAGGCUGCAUGUCCACGAUGAAUAGUGCAGUGCUGGAAAGACAUAUUAGCUUGAGACUUAAAAGCAAUACAGUUGUACUAGCCCGGAGAUAAUGAGCUUCUCAGCAAGGUGUAUUAGCUGUAAUACAGCACUGAUGGAAAUAUCAACUCCCAGUUUUGAAGAUAGCCUGGUUGUGGGUCCACCCAACUCAAGACAGCUUUGAAUAUUCCUUGUUCUGCCAGAGGAAUAUUUUUUCAGGGACUUUCAGCAAGUGAUUUCACUCAGUUUCUGUUACUUUGCUUCCUAUUACUCUUCCACAAUAUUAUUAUUUUAGAAAAUUUAUGGAAAUUUGUUGCUCUCUGCAGCUGAUCUAUCUGGAAAUCCCUUUCUUUCUAUGUAUUAGAAUAGGGCCUUGAGUUUGAAGCACUCAACAAGAAGAUCCUAUAUAAAUUAUUCUGAAACUGCUUUGAGAAAUGUACUCAUAAGUCGAGAGUCACUAUAAACAUAUUUACAUACGCUGUCAAAAUGGAUAAAUUAACCUUCCAAACCUCUGUGUCAGUCUGAACUUCAUGAUGGUUUAAGUUACAAAGCUCACUGGAAACUGUAUGGGAAUCCAAUAGUAAUAUCCUACCACAAGCUCAGGCUAGUGAUGGUACAUUGCCGUUUAGAGAAGCAAACAGGCAGAUUUCUGUAAGGACAAUGAAUGGCUUUUGCAGCAAGUGGUGAGAAUUGUGCGAUUCCACAGUCAGCAAACAUCCCCGCCAACUCCAGGGCUGCAACCGGGCCACUGCCGUGGGCAGGAGAAGGACAAAAGGUGUUUUAAAGUGAGCCCACACCAGAGACGAGGCUUCACUAGCACGAACUGGUGCAACAUUUCUCAUCAGAGUGUAAACUUAGGUCAUCUGACAUAACCUCAGCCAUGGAGCUGUUUUGGUCUUGGACUGGUAUUGUUAUCUGUAGUUGUCUAUUGUGCAGGCAUUGUCAUAUCCUGUUUACUCAUGUCCAUCUUUUGUCUUUUUCUUCACAGUUAGACUCGCCUAUACUUGCAAAUCAUCCUGGAAGGAGGUACACUAGUUUAGACAAGGCUUUAUUCAGUUAGACACCCUGAAAUAUAUAAUACUCUGCCAAGUUCCUGUGUGUACAUGUUGUGAAAGUAUUACGUAGUUGCAUUCACCUUUAACAAUAAUUUGGACCUUCUUUCCAGCUCUUGACAAAACAAAACAAUUUUUAAUAGAUGAGCAUCGGAAUGAAUGAAAUCUGAGUUCCCAGAGUUCCUAAAUACAAGGUUUACUAUGUUUUUCUCUCUUGUUGCUGGUUGAAAACUCUGUUGAAAUUUUUUUUCCCAGCUAGAUGCAAAUUUCUCUUUUGCCCGAGCACUAUUGUAUCCAGUAAAACAAGAGUUCAUGCUGUAACAUUUCCCUCCAACAGGAAACUUGGUAAUGAAGUCCGAUUCCUCUUCUUGGUUAUCAUAUGCUGCCAUAUUACUGGAAAUUUGCCACCAUAAUAAGAAAUUAAGGACAAUAAACAGAAAGGAAGCACACUUUAAAUCUGUUUUCUUAAGAAAACAAGAAAAAAUAGAGAAUUUCUAUCUUGCACAAAAUUCUAAUAUUUUGAUACACAUUCAAAUGAAAAAAAUUGAAGUCCUAAACUUCACAGGGAAAUGAAAACCAUACAAUCUUUUGAUUAGAAAGAUUUUGUUUCAUUUCUAGUCAAAGUUAGCUUUAAACCUGGCAGAAAUCCAGUGGUGAUACCCUGAACUGACCACAUAUUAGAGGUAGACUUCUAUAAUUUCUUUUUCCAUAUACUGAGUUGCCAAAAAAACCCAGAGUUGUUUUCGUGGAAAAAAACGCCCACUUAAAACCUCGACAAAAGCAAACAAAAACCCUACAAAUUUAUAUUGCAUUAGAAUAUAAAUGAGAAUACUGAUUUUCCAGAGAAAGAUCAAAGUCACUAGAUCAGGAAGGAGAACGUAAUAUUUAAAUCUCCCUUGCACUCUGCAUCUUCACUUGCAGUUUGGAUUUCAGUGCAUUUGUGGGAUUUAUGAGUUGCAGGUAACUCUGACCAGUCCCCUCUCAGCAGGGCUUCUUCCAUCACUGCUGAAAUGUGUUGCUGUCUCCCUCCUCGCUGUCGGAGUCCCUCAGUCUCUGCUGCCCUGGCUUGCAGUUUCUGGCUGUGACUCUCCCCCUUCCUUCCAGCUCUCUUGAGUUCCGUUGCCUUUCUCUCUGGCUUAUCCUCAGUUCAUUCCCAGGAACAACCCAAAUCAAAGCUUCCACCCAAUCCUGGCAUUUUUGUCUAAAAGAAAUGCAACAUGAGAAAAAGGAACAAACAUAUGAAAGGGGGUGUUUCCUUCAAAGCCCCAAGGACUCUGCAGUGCUGGGAUGUUUGCAGCAGCAUUCUGUGGUUUGGGUCCUGACCUGGGUUGCCAUCUCCCAAACUGGGGACAGUGUCAUAUACAGCAGAUCCAUUUCUGUGAACUCCCCAAGUGCGUGUGAAGACUGAGGAAGGCACCAGUGCAGACAGGAGACAACAGUUUCCUUGCUAACAGGCAACCAUGGUAUUGGAUAUAGAAGUAACAGUAGCCCCACAAAACUUGCUUGGUUUGCAGUUUCUAAACCCUACUGAAGUGCUACGCUUGAGUAAGUCCCAACCAAAACAUUUUCAAAUGACGUCUUUGCAAACUGCUUGCACUACAAGUUCUUUCUAUUUUAACAGAACUGUCUUCUGACAGGAAAGUGUUUCAUAUGCAAUUUUUUU